GCCCCCAUAGCUCAGUGGAUAGAGUGCGGCCCUCCGGAGGCUGAGGCCCAGGUUCGAGUCCUGGUGGGGGCG
rnacentral:tRNA from 1 species